GUGGGAGGGGGCUUGCUCCCGAUUGCGGUAGGUCAGUCAACUUAUCUGUAACUGAUACACCGCUAUCGGGAGCAAGCCCCCUCCUAC
rnacentral:misc_RNA from 1 species